rnacentral:rRNA from 1 species
GAUAAACGCUGGCGGCGUGCCUAAUACAUGCAAGUCGAGCGAACGGACGAGAAGCUUGCUUCUCUGAUGUUAGCGGCGGACGGGUGAGUAACACGUGGAUAACCUACCUAUAAGACUGGGAUAACUUCGGGAAACCGGAGCUAAUACCGGAUAAUAUUUUGAACCGCAUGGUUCAAAAGUGAAAGACGGUCUUGCUGUCACUUAUAGAUGGAUCCGCGCUGCAUUAGCUAGUUGGUAAGGUAACGGCUUACCAAGGCAACGAUGCAUAGCCGACCUGAGAGGGUGAUCGGCCACACUGGAACUGAGACACGGUCCAGACUCCUACGGGAGGCAGCAGUAGGGAAUCUUCCGCAAUGGGCGAAAGCCUGACGGAGCAACGCCGCGUGAGUGAUGAAGGUCUUCGGAUCGUAAAACUCUGUUAUUAGGGAAGAACAUAUGUGUAAGUAACUGUGCACAUCUUGACGGUACCUAAUCAGGAAGCCACGGCUAACUACGUGCCAGCAGCCGCGGUAAUACGUAGGUGGCAAGCGUUAUCCGGAAUUAUUGGGCGUAAAGCGCGCGUAGGCGGUUUUUUAAGUCUGAUGUGAAAGCCCACGGCUCAACCGUGGAGGGUCAUUGGAAACUGGAAAACUUGAGUGCAGAAGAGGAAAGUGGAAUUCCAUGUGUAGCGGUGAAAUGCGCAGAGAUAUGGAGGAACACCAGUGGCGAAGGCGACUUUCUGGUCUGUAACUGACGCUGAUGUGCGAAAGCGUGGGGAUCAAACAGGAUUAGAUACCCUGGUAGUCCACGCCGUAAACGAUGAGUGCUAAGUGUUAGGGGGUUUCCGCCCCUUAGUGCUGCAGCUAACGCAUUAAGCACUCCGCCUGGGGAGUACGACCGCAAGGUUGAAACUCAAAGGAAUUGACGGGGACCCGCACAAGCGGUGGAGCAUGUGGUUUAAUUCGAAGCAACGCGAAGAACCUUACCAAAUCUUGACAUCCUUUGACAACUCUAGAGAUAGAGCCUUCCCCUUCGGGGGACAAAGUGACAGGUGGUGCAUGGUUGUCGUCAGCUCGUGUCGUGAGAUGUUGGGUUAAGUCCCGCAACGAGCGCAACCCUUAAGCUUAGUUGCCAUCAUUAAGUUGGGCACUCUAAGUUGACUGCCGGUGACAAACCGGAGGAAGGUGGGGAUGACGUCAAAUCAUCAUGCCCCUUAUGAUUUGGGCUACACACGUGCUACAAUGGACAAUACAAAGGGCAGCGAAACCGCGAGGUCAAGCAAAUCCCAUAAAGUUGUUCUCAGUUCGGAUUGUAGUCUGCAACUCGACUACAUGAAGCUGGAAUCGCUAGUAAUCGUAGAUCAGCAUGCUACGGUGAAUACGUUCCCGGGUCU